GUCCGCGUGGCCUAAUGGAUAAGGCGCCUGAUUCCGGAUCAGGAGAUUGCAGGUUCGGGUCCUGUCGCGGACG
rnacentral:tRNA from 1 species